rnacentral:rRNA from 1 species
GACGAACGCUGGCGGCGUGCCUAACACAUGCAAGUCGAGCGAUGAUUCGCCUCUUCGGAGGCGUUAAUUAGCGGCGGACGGGUGAGUAACACGUGGGUAACCUGCCUCAAAGAGGGGAAUAGCCUCCCGAAAGGGAGAUUAAUACCGCAUAAUAUGUUUUGAUCGCAUGAUCUUAACAUCAAAGGAAUUUCUUCGGAAGUUUCACUUUGAGAUGGACCCGCGGCGCAUUAGCUAGUUGGUGAGGUAAAGGCCCACCAAGGCAACGAUGCGUAGCCAACCUGAGAGGGUGAUCGGCCACAUUGGAACUGAAACACGGUCCAAACUCCUACGGGAGGCAGCAGUGGGGAAUAUUGCGCAAUGGGGGAAACCCUGACGCAGCACCGCCGCGUGAAUGAUGAAGGCCUUCGGGUUGUAAAGUUCUGUCUUCUGGGACGAUAAUGACGGUACCAGAGGAGGAAGCCACGGCUAACUACGUG